rnacentral:rRNA from 1 species
ACUCUUAGCAAUGUAUAUCUCGGCUCUCGCAUCGACUCUUGGUGUGAAUUGAAAAAUCCCGUGAACCAUCAAGGUUUUUAACGCAAGUUGUGCCCAAAGCCACUAGGCCAAGGGCACGUCUGCCUAGGCAUCAUGCACUAGUAGUGUUUUGUGCUCAACACAUGCAAUGUAUUUGUGUUGAGGAACGGGCAUGCUAUCUCUGGUCGGUGGACCUAAAGAUGGCAUCGAGUGACGAGCAUCUAGAUCGAUGGUGGUGAUACUGGCGAAAGACCGAUAAACAAGUACAACGAGGGAAAAAUGAAAAGGACUUUGAAAAAAAGAGUCAAAGAAUGCUUGAAAUUUUUAGGAGGGAAGCAGAUGGGGCUGCAGAAAUACCUAGGUCAGAUGCAAAAUUGUGUGAGGCGGUCCGUCGUUCUACUCUAGAAGUGGAUAGAUGCAGAUUAUGAUGGUUACCAAAGACCGAGCCGUUUACGUGAUUGUGGAUACAUCAUCAUCGUGAUUGUGCUGGGUAGAACACGCGUUCGGCAUGCCUAUGGAAACUGCACGCUUUCGAAGUCUUCGGGCUCCCAUUCGGAGCAUGUUGAAACAUGGACCAAGGAGUCUGACAUGUGUGCUACUCAACGGGAGAGUAUAAUGCACAAGGAAGUUGAUUGGUGGGUUCCCCUUAUGAAUUACACGUCAAAAGACCUAGACAUUUUGAGAAGGGUCAAGUUUGAGCAUACCUGUCGGGAGCUGAAAGAUGGUGAACUAUGCCUGAGCGGGAUGAAGCCCGAGGAAACUCUGUGGGGGCCGCAACAAUAUUGGCGUGCAAUUCGUUCAUUUGACUUGGGUAUAGGGGCGAAAGAUUAAUCGAACCAUCUAGUACCUAGUUCUCUCCGAAGCUUCCCUCGCGAUAGCUAGAACUCGAACGCGAGUUCUAUUGGGAAAGCCAAUGAUUAGAGGCAACGGGAGCGCAACGCCCUUGACUUAUUCUCAAACUUUAAAUUGGUAGGAUGGUGCGGCUACUUUGUUGAGCUGUACCAUGGAAUCAAGAGCUCGAAGUGGGCCAUUUUUGGUAAGCAGAAUUGGUGAUGCAGGAUCAAUUGGAAGUCGGGUUACGAUGCCCAACUACAUAUUACCCUAGAACCCACAAUGGGUUUUGGUUGAUUAAGACAACUGGACAGUGGUCAUGAAAGUCGAAAUCCGCUAAAGAGUGUGUAACAACUCACUUAUCGAAUCAACUUCCCAAAAAAUGGACGACACUUAAGCACGUGACCCCACCUGACUGUACGUUGGGGCAAUAGUCAAAGCCUGAUGAGUACGAGAGCGCGAUGGUAGCUGUAAAACCUAGGGUGUGAGCUUGAUCGGAGCUUCUGUCGGUGCAGAUAUUGGUGGUAGUAGCAAAUAUUCAAAUGAAAAGUUUGAAGGCCGAAGAGGGAAAAAGUUCCAUGUGAACGACACUUGCACAUGGGUUAGUUGAUCCUAAGAGUCGGGGUUACCCCAUCAAAGAGCGUGAACUUCAAAAGGGAACCGGGUUAAAAUUCCUAAAUCGGGAUGUGGCGGUUGACGACAACGUUAAGAAGUCUGGAGACGUCGGCGGGGGCCUUGGGAAGAGUUAUAUUUUCUUUUUAAUAGCUAGCCCACCCUAGAAACGACUCAGCUAAAGGUAGAGUUCAAUGGAUGGAAGUGCAUUGCACAUCGCAUGAUGUCCGGUGCGCCCUCAGCGGCCCUUGAAAAUCUGGAGGACCGAGUAUUGAUCGUGCCUGAUCGUACUAAUAACCACAUCAGGUCUCCAAGAUGGACAACCUCUAGUCGAUGGAACAAAAUAGACAAGGGAAGUUGGAAAAAUGGAUCCAUAACCUUGGGAAAAGGAUUGGUUCUAAGGACUGGGCUCAGAGUCCCUGUCCCGAGCCAGUUAUUGGUGGACUACUCAACUGCUUUCAUGGUGAGAUUAGGCCACAAUGUGCCAACAAGGGGAUGGACUAGGAAUGCUCCUUUCGGGGGCCUUCCCUAGGUGUUUAAUAGUUGACUCAGAACUGGUACGGACAAGGGGAAUCCGACUAUUUAGUUAAAACAAAGCAUUUAGAUGGUGCUUACGGUUGCUAACACAAUGUGAUUUCUGUUCAGUGUGUUGAAUAUCAAAGUGAAGAAAUUUUCCAAGCGCGCGUAAACGUGGGGAGUAACUAUGACUUUCUUAAGGUAGCCAAAUGCUUCAACAUCUAAUUAGUGACGUGCAUGAAUGGAUUAAUGAGAUUCCCAUUGUCCUUGUCUACUAUCUAGCAAAACUAUAGUCAAGCGAAUAGCCUUGGCAGAAUUAUCAGGGAAAUAACACCCCUGUUGAGCUUGACACCAGUCUGACUUUUAGAAAUGACUUGAGAGGCAUAGGAUAAGAAGGAGGUGUUUUCGUCAAAGUAAAUACAACAAAUUUUAAUAGUAUUUUACUUAUUUUGUGAGUCGGAAGCGGGGCACUGGCCCUCAUUUUGGAUCCAUGGGUCGAUUCAAUGGUCCGAUCCAGGCGGAAGACAUUGCCAGCUAGGGAGUUUGGCUCGGGUAGCACAUCUGUUAAAAGAUAACGCAGGUGUUCUAAGAUGAGCUCAACGAGAACUGAAAUCUUGUGUGGAACAAAAGGGUAAAAGUCAUUUGAUUUUGAUUUUCAGUACGAAUACGACUGUGAAAGCGUGGCUUUUCAAUCCUUUAGACCUUCAAAAUUUAAAGCUAGAUGUGUCAGGAAAGCUACCAUAGGGAUAACUGGUAGCAACCAAGCGUUUAUAGUGACAUUUUUUUUAUCCUUCGAUGUUAGGUUUUCCUAUCAUUGUGAAACAUAAUUCACCAAGUGUUGGAUUGUUCACACCCCAACAGGGAACGUGAGCUGGAUUUAAACUGUUGCGAGACAGGUUAGUUUUACCCUAUUGAUGAUAGUGUCACAAUAGUAAUUCAACCAAUAAUGAGAAGAACCGGUGAUUCACACAAUUGGUCAUCGCACUUGGUUGAAAAGCCAGUGGCGCGAAGCUACCAUGUGUAGGAUUAUGGCUGAAUGCCUCUAAGUCAGAAUCUAGGCUAGAGAAGAGGCGCAUACGCUUGUUGCCUAAUUACUAACCUGAGUAGUGACCUUUUGGUCUCAAAAGGCACGUGCCAUUGU